rnacentral:lncRNA from 1 species
AUGACACUUCCCUCUCAUAGCAUGGAAACACUCUAUGGUUGUCUGAUAAAUGCUGUCCAGUAAAUAUAUUCUCUUGCCUUCUGCGAUGCAAAAUUACUUUCCUGCUUGUCUUCCCAGUGGACAAAUAUCAAAAUCAAUGACUGAACAUCAGAUGAAGCAUCCGUGGAGGGAGGACAGAUUGUAUUAAUAUGGAUGCCAUGCAUGAGAAGAAUAUUAGAGAAUAAUGAAGGUUUAUCAUCUUAUGCUGAGAUAGAAAUUAAUGUAUUUAACGAAACAUCGUGAAUGAAGAAACUUUUCUUCUCAGUGACCAGUAUGCUCAUCUAAGAGCAAUUAUGACUUAGUUCUGCAAGACAUCAAAUAAAUACAGCUUUGAAACCA